rnacentral:rRNA from 1 species
UACGUAGGGGGCAAGCGUUGUCCGGAUUCACUGGGUUUAAAGGGUGCGUAGGUGGGCAGUUAAGUCAGUGGUGAAAUCUCCGGGCUCAACCCGGAAACUGCCAUUGAUACUAUCUGUCUUGAAUAUCGUGGAGGUAAGCGGAAUAUGUCAUGUAGCGGUGAAAUGCUUAGAUAUGACAUAGAACACCAAUUGCGAAGGCAGCUUACUACCCGAAUAUUGACACUGAGGCACGAAAGCGUGGGGAUCAAACAGG